rnacentral:rRNA from 1 species
CCUACGGGGGGCAGCAGUGGGGAAUAUUGCACAAUGGGCGAAAGCCUGAUGCAGCAACGCCGCGUGAAGGAAGAAGGCUUUCGAGUCGUAAACUUCUGUCCAAAGGGAAGAAGAAUGACGGUACCUUUGAAGAAAGCCCCGGCUAACUACGUGCCAGCAGCCGCGGUAAUACGUAGGGGGCGAGCGUUAUCCGGAAUUACUGGGCGUAAAGAGUAUGUAGGUGGUUAAGUAAGCGUAGGGUUUAAGGCGACAGCCCAACUGUCGUAUGCCCCGCGAACUGUUUAACUUGAGUACAGGAGGGGAAGGCGGAAUUCCUAGUGUAGCGGUGAAAUGCGUAGAUAUUAGGAGGAACACCAGUGGCGAAGGCGGCCUUCUGGACUGUAACUGACACUGAGAUACGAAAGCGUGGGU